GCUCCCCUCAGGUGUUGGCUUGUUCUUUGAGUGCUGCAGCUCCCCUCAUGGUUGUAAGAUGGCUGCUGAAGGUCCAGACAUCACAUCCAGACAUGAUGUAUCUGGAGGUUGAAGAGGGGCCAUCUCUUUCUAAUAGGAGACCCCAAAGACAGAAACUGCAUGUCUCCGGCACAGGAAAUCUCGUAUUGGUACCCGGUAGCUUCCAAUUGCAAGCACCUGAGACUAGACCUGGGGACUUUUUCUGGCUGCAGAGCCUGCUUCUGCAUGUGGAGCAUUCCAAAAGUGCCAGAGAGUGAAUGCUCCCAGGAGCAACCCUCAAACAAUGACUGGUGUGAGUCAGUGCAUAAAUACUUCCAACUCCCUUGCCCUUUAAGGAUAAACUCGGAAGUGUCUGUUCUCUACUGUCUCCCAGAGAUUUCCAGCAAGAUUGAUCUCCAGUUGCCUGAAGGGGUAACUGUCUUCGAUACAGUACACUUUCCCCCUAUCUUCCCUUUCUUGCCUGAUUUCCCCACUCCCAUACUGUUAUUCCUUGAGAUCAUCUUCCAAAUAAACUUAUAUUCAAAUCCUUUUCUUAGAGUCUAUAUCCAGGGGAACUCAAACUCAGAUAAUAGCCCUUGUUUUAAUGAUAAGGAUAGCACCAGUCCUUGCAAGGUUUCUUGGCUCUGAAGUGGUCUCCAUUCUCUCACCCCAUCCCCUUAACUCUGUCCUCAAUCAUAACCUCAUGUGUGUCUUUCACUUGGACCAUUCUGACAGUGGUUUCCCAUUCCCGUAAUUUCCCUCCUAUUGCUUCUCCAUGGGCAGCCUCAGUAACCUUCCUGUUAAGCAGAGAGCGCAUUAUUGCACACCUUCUACUGUGAUAUCUUCAGUGGCUUCCUAUCACCUGUAGCAUUAAGUCCCAACCCUCAGCUUGAUGUGUAAAGUCCUCUGUGAUCAUUCCUAAAUUCACCUUUCAGUCACUCCCAUUCUCCACUGCCUUCUCCCCAAAAUCUGUGCUCAUUUCUCCACCAUCUUCACUCCUGGGCACCAGUCCUCAUGCCUCACCAUUGUCCAUUAUGCUGUCUCCCACUUCCAGAAGUCACAGGUCCAUGAGCCAUCCUCCAAGGCUAGCUUAGAUGACCUCUGUGAAGCCUUCCUGAUCUCACAUUAGUCUUUGACUCUCCUAUAGUGCCUCAAACUUGGUGACUGCUGGUGGC